CCUACGGGAGGCAGCAGUGGGGAAUAUUGCACAAUGGGGGGAACCCUGAUGCAGCAAAGCCGCGUGGGUGAAGAAGUACUCCGGUAUGUAAAGCCCUGUCAGCAGGGAAGAAAAUGACGGUACCUGACCAAGAAGCACCGGCUAACUACGUGCAAGCAGCCGCGGUAAUACGGAGGGGGAAAGCGUUAACCAGAUUUACUGGGGGUAAAGGGAGCGUAGACGGCAAGGCAAGGCUGGAGUGAAAGCCCGUGGCCCAACCACGGGACUGCUUUGGAAACUGUUUUGCUGGAGUGCAGGAGGGGUAAGCGGAAUGCCGAGUGUAGCGGUGAAAUGCGUAGAUAUUAGGAGGAACCCCAGUGGCGGAGGCGGCUGACUGGACUGUAACUGACGUUGAGGCUCGAAGGCGUGGGGAGCAAACAGGAUUAGAUACCCUUGUAGUC
rnacentral:rRNA from 1 species